rnacentral:rRNA from 1 species
UACGAAGGUCCCAAGCGUUAUCCGGAAUUAUUGGGCGUAAAGCGCAUGUAGGCGGUUUGUUAAGUCUGGUGUGAAAGCUCAAGGCCUAACCUUGAAAUUGCAUUGGAAACUGGCAAACUAGAAUACUGGAGGGGUAAGUGGAAUUCCAUGUGUAGCGGUGGAAUGCGUAGAUAUCUGGAGGAACACCGGUGGCGAAGGCGGCAUCCUGGACCAAUAUUGACGCUGAGGAGCGAAAGCUAGGGGAGCAAACGGG